AUAAUUCAAUUGUGACAGUUAAAUGAUAAUCCAUACCCUACAAUGAGAUAUAUAGCUUAAUAAAUUUUACAGUGCAAUAAAAUAAACACUAAUGUGAUUGUCUAAAAGCUAAUUAACUAAUCAUUGAUAACACGGAAGAAAAUAAAUUGAUUAUUCGAGUGCAUAGACUGUUUUUCUUUAUAUUCAGCAGUGGUCGGAUUUCAAUGGCCAUAACUGUAUAUAUAUAUAAACAUAUAAUAAUUUUUUGAGACCCUAUUUAAUGUCUUUUGAAUGUGAUUAGUCAAAAAAUUUAAUACAUUUAAUUUAGAUGUUGUUUUGAAAGUUCAUAAAGGUGUGUCGUUGGUCCAAAUAAAUGUUGCGAUUUCGGAACAAUUAAAGAGACUCAAUCAAAGAAAUCGAAAUUCUAAGUCUACAACAGCUGAAGAAACUACACCUGAAAUUCUAGAGUUUGAUUAAAAACCAAUUAUUUUAUUAAUUUUAAAAUAAAUUGUUAAAAUAUAAAGUCUUUUUUAUUGUUGAGAAGACUUAUAGGUUUGAAAGAUCCUGCUUACACACUUUGGUUAGCACUAUGACAUGUUACUUAUUUAGGGAUAGGCGAGGGCUUCAGUACAUACACUGACUGAUUUAGGGAGAACUCGCAAAAAAAUACAGCAAAUGCUGGAAGCUAGAACAGGAAGUUAUAAAUCAGCAUCUUGAGGGUAAAAUGAAAAUCAACAACUAGUAGCACUUCUUUGAAUUGUCUUUAAAUUAGAGUAAUGUUAAUUUUGAUUGAUAUGGAGAUAGAUGCAUACAAUGGAAAACGAACUGCUGUUAUGCGAGUUUUUAUAAAUUUUAGUCUUUCUGAGGGCCUAAUUAAAAAAAAGAUACUCAACUUGGUUUGUUUGGAACAAUUUUGGUUAUAUGGUAUUAAAACUUAAAAAAUUAGUUUAAUGAAUAAACAGCUUUAAAAAUAAUCUUUUACUACAAAUAAUGAACAGACACUAAACAAAGUUAUAUACUUAAUUGUAGGUAGUAUUUUCAGCUGUACAUAGUAUGUUUUUGUAAUUUUUCUUUAUAUCUAGAUUUUUGGAAGAUGUUAAACAACAAGAUGUAAUUCGAGAUAUUGUUUCUAAAAUUCUUAAAGACGUGUUAUUCGUUCAAGUAAACGAUGCUGUUAAAGCAGGUUGUCUGAGCAGUUAAAGAAACUUAAUCAAAUGAUUCAAAAUUCUCUUCUUUAGGCAGUCGAAGCAACGAUACUCGAAAUGCCUGGAAUGGAUAAUUAACCAAGUAAUAAAUAAACUUUGAAAUAAAGUUUAAA